UCCUUGGGGGUCCAAUGGUUAAGACUCAGUGCUUGCACUGCUGUGACCUGGGUUCAAUUCCUGGUCAGGGGC
rfam:TPA: Bos taurus chromosome 14, whole genome shotgun sequence.